AUUGAACGCUGGCGGCAGGCCUAACACAUGCAAGUCGAACGGUAACAGGAAGUAGCUUGCUUCUUUGCUGACGAGUGGCGGACGGGUGAGUAAUGCCUGGGAAACUGCCUGAUGGAGGGGGAUAACUACUGGAAACGGUAGCUAAUACCGCAUAACGUCGCAAGACCAAAGAGGGGGACCUUCGGGCCUCUUGCCAUCGGAUGUGCCCAGAUGGGAUUAGCUAGUAGGUGGGGUAACGGCUCACCUAGGCGACGAUCCCUAGCUGGUCUGAGAGGAUGACCAGCCACACUGGAACUGAGACACGGUCCAGACUCCUACGGGAGGCAGCAGUGGGGAAUAUUGCACAAUGGGCGCAAGCCUGAUGCAGCCAUGCCGCGUGUAUGAAGAAGGCCUUCGGGUUGUAAAGUACUUUCAGCGGGGAGGAAGGGAGUAAAGUUAAUACCUUUGCUCAUUGACGUUACCCGCAGAAGAAGCACCGGCUAACUCCGUG
rnacentral:rRNA from 1 species